ensembl:lncRNA
CCUGUGCUUUUGAAAAUGUCUUGAGAAAGUUCCCUUGGAAAAUGUUGCAGAUUCUUGCACAAUUGUUCGUGCCCACUUUCCAUCAGGUUAUGAUUAUUUGGAUAUCUGUGAAGUAGAAUGCAAACUAUGAUGAUUUUAAAGACCUGCAGACUUAUGUGGGCAUCCACAAGUGUUGCUGGUCAAGUUCCCUGGAAAGCAGACUCUGAGAUUCCCGUGCAGAAAGUCUGGUUAGUGAGCAUCCACACCUGUGGGGAAGGAAAGGUCGCUAGAUUGGGCAGAGAGAGAAGUCUGGCUGUGAUGAAGUCAAAACCAGGUUUCUGCUGAUCUCACGGGCCUUCGGAGGCUGCCCUUCAAAGAUGUCCUAAGUUGAGCGUGAGGGGCCCCACCUUGGAACUUCCUUAUUGACCAAUCAUUGGAUACAGGUUGCCCCUGGAAAGGGAAUGUGACCUGGGGCGAGGCAGCUCUCUUCAGCUGAAGGCAAUUUCAGGAGAAAGCUGACAGGCCGAGGGUAUCACGCCCAGCACGGGGGUAUAAAUUCUUCCAUGGAGCAGGGGAAUCCAUUCGGUGCAAUGUGGCUGUUCACUAUGGUACUGCGGUAAACACAAUUCUGCAAGAGAGAUGAGCAAUUUGCUGCCAGAGGUGUGUUUUUCUUCCAAAAGUGUCUAGAAAUCCAGAAGUACUUCACCAAAAGCAUAAGGAACCAAAUGAACGGGUAUGCCACUUCACUGUGAAUCAUGAAGGAAUUUGGAAGAUGAUUAAAUUCCUAAACAAAUUGAGACCAGAGCUUAUCAAGAUAUAUUCUCAGAAGUAGAAUGGCUGGAUCAUAUGAUGCCAUCCAUUUCUUUAUGGGUCAAGUUACAUGCCUUAGGAGAAUUUAGGCAGUGACGCAAAAUACCAUGGCAGGACCUUGCUGUGGUGGAGAAAAGAAGAUCAAAUUACUGGAAAUUUCUGUGAGUUGUUCCUAUAUUGGAGACAAUGACCAUUUCAAAACUUUGAAUUAUCAGCAGGAUUAAAACUGCUCUGGACUAAGAAUCCCAUGUUUUUUUGAUAGUAAUUGCCCAGGGAGCCAGCAGCUCCCUCCGAUGGAACUGAGAUCUCCAGUUCAGAGAAAAGAACUGUGUGUGUACAACAUACACUCCUGCCCAGGCCACCACCAUCGCUUCCAGUGCAUUUCGCUUCUCUCAAGUUGAACUCGUGGCAGAUUGCUUCUUUUUCACUUGCUUUUGACUUAUGUGUAUAUGUACCUUGUGACUAGGAAACAGAACAUUUUAAGAGAGUCACCUGGAAGACCGUUCACGACUGCAUGAGGAACUUGCUUCACCACGUUUCUUUGCCAUCGUGUUCUCUGCGACAUAGACCCAGACAGUCCCUCUCAAGCUCUGCAUUGUAACAACUUCAGAUGUAGUCCUUUGAAAGAAUGCUCUACUCCUAAGAAAAAAACCUGUAUUAUUGCUCCCAUGUUUCUUUGAACAUCCUCCUGCUGGAAGUUUGAAUGUAGCUCAAAAAACUAUAAUUUUCAGACCUUAAGUCUAUCAAUCUCAUGACUUUACUGCUACAACCAAAUGAAUCAAUAGUAACAGUCAAACCAUCCCAUGCAUCAAACAAGUAACCCUAGGAAACACAAAAUAAGUGACAGGCAAUGCAGGUUUUAUAGCGUAUCAUUUAGUGCUUUAACUACAGUAUGCACUCAUUUAAAGAUAUAACUUGCUCUAGCAAACAAUAAAAGCAACCGAGUAUUCGUUUGUUUGUUCCCAAACGCAGUGAUCCCACCACAGUGAGUUAAGGAGACGCAACUGCAGUCUGUCAAUAGCGAGGUUUAUUUUUUACACACUUGAGAGAAGUGGUCAAUAUUGUUGCAGUGAAAGCAUCAUUACACAUGACUAACUAGCUGGGAAAAUAAAAACAAAUGGGGAGGGAGUGACCAAAUAAUGGUACAAGGGAAAAUGGUGGUUUAGAGUAUGUCGAAUUUGUUGAUUUGGUAGCUAAGCACGAGAGCUCUACCACAAUAAUGUGUAAAUAAAAGAAAUAAGAUUUCUCUGUUACUUACAUAACAACAAUAAUUUUACCCUUUCUGUUUUUUUUUUUACUGAUUGAUAUUUGCAUGAAUCUUCAAAGCAAAGAAUGCCAAGUAGAGAAUUGUCGACAUAAAUCAUAGCUAAAUUGUGUAUGUGUCCUAAACUAAAUUGUGUCUGGAACUGUCAUUUGAAUCGUUCCUUUGUGUAUGUCAGAAAGAUAGGAUGCUAUCGUGAGGGUUAGAGAUCCGAGGCAGGUUUGGUAGCAUCAUCACUAAUAGAGGAUGUCAUCCUUGGCUGUGGCUGAUGGUGGGGGUAGGAGGCAAUGCCUUAUGAACUUCUGAUUCCUUACCCCACCCUCGAAUUGGAUAGAUUCAUUUCUUCAGUUACUCAUCUAUUCAUGUAUCAAUCUCUCCAUUGAUUCAAUAAGCGCACACUGAACCCAGUCUAUGUUCCAAGUAUAUUGUUAAGACAAUUUCCUGCAGUCGGGGAAGUCAUGUGCAGUUUUCCAACCAGUCUUCACGUUCUUAUUUGCACCAUGAGAAGCCUUCCUCAGUCUGGAAGGAUCAGAAUGUCUGCUACCAUUCCCGCCUAGGCCUAGCUCCCUCUUUUGUACAAAGCCAUCUUUGAGACUGAAAACCGAAAAUGCCUUGUAACAAAGUCUGCAUCAUAGCAUCUAGGAAUAAUUAUUAAUUUACAGAGUAUUGAUUUGGGCUUUGGUGGAAUUCUAGUUUCAGAAGAUAUUAUCUGUCUUUGAAGUUUUCUAUUACUUUUUAGAAAAAGAAACUCAUGUCAAGCGCUACAAACUACUGUGAGCCUUGUAAGCAAAAAUACGAGAUUAACUUUUCCCCUUAGAUACAAGAAUGUCAUAUAUUAUUUGGCCAGCAUAAUUAAUUUAAUUCUCUUUUAAUGACACUGAUAUGUUACCAAAGUAAUGCAAAGAGAUUAAACCAACUUGGCCUCCUCCUGGCAUCUUGAAUGCAUCUCUAUGGUAACAGAUCUUGGUGCCACUGUGAGAUAAAGCCAAUUAAGAUAAAUAAUGGGAGAUCAGUGAGCACAGAUCACUCUGAACAUAAACUUUUUAAGGAAUUAUUGGUAUCAUUGGAUUGCAGAUAAAUCACUUGAAGGUAUGUGCUAAAAAUCUGAAACUUGGAAUGGUUUUAAACACACGCCUAUUUGAUUUAUUUAAAGCUGUCAAGAUUCCACUAUGAAUAACAUUCUUUUCAAACCUACAUUUUAGAAAUAUUGUGCUUGGCAAGGAGUUUUUUCAUCCUUAGUCAUACUUUUUAAAUGGUAUCCAAAUUGUCAUAAAAAUUAUCUAUUAAUAUAGUCAUGGAUUUUUUUUAGAUUAUAGAAAAUAUUUUUUAAAGCAUUCUCAUGUCGUUAAGAACCUAAGAUAUAGCAUAGGUUUCUUUUAUUUCUGCUUAAACAUUUUGUAAUAAACUCACUCAUUUAUCAAAAAUCUACCUUUCUUAUUUUUACUGAAGAUGGCUCAGGUUACGUUAGAAAUUUGGCGAAAAUUUUUUAUAUUUUCAUUUUACUUCCAAGGAUCACCCAAUUUGAAGUAAUCAAUUAAAUUAACAUGUCUAACAAUCUAUUUUUAUAUUAAGGCUCAAUAACAAAACUAAAGCCUCAUUCAGGGGGAAAUUUUACAUGUCCUGUCUUACAUGUAGGUAUCAAUUGCCCCUUUGAUAUGUAUUCAUUCUUUUCAAACAAUUUAUUCUUCACUAAUACAUUUGUAGAUUCCGGACUCCAUGGUAUCUUAUCAGAGCAUUGCGUAAAACACUUUCAUCAGAAAUUUGCCCCAGGUAGAAGUCUACGUAAAUUCCUGUCACUUGAGCCAACCAAAGAACACUGAAAGGUUACUCUUGAGGAAAAUGAAAACUGUCAUUUUAUCUGAAAAGGAAUGCAAGAAAUAACAUUUCAUUAAUCAUUCUUUAGGUAAAUCAGAUUGAGAGGUGGGCUUUUAAAAUAUCAGUAAUGAUUUUAAUAGUAAACAAUUAGCUUCCAGUAUAGUACAUUCAGUUUCAAACUUGGAUAAUUACAUUGAUAAAAUCAGGGAAACCUUCUGUGUGCAUAUUAAGGAAGAAAAUCACACAAAUCAGGUGUCUUUUGAGGUUUCUCCUGUCGGACGUUGUCUAGGACGCAAAUAAUUUCAGUGUGGCUAGCUUUUGACUUGCACUAAAGUCUUGAGGUAUAUCCGUGGACACGUCUCUUUUAUGACCAUGACCUAAUUGUCUGAGCAAUCUUUCCUGUUGAGCCUAGACCCAGCCUGAGAAUCUUCUAGAACGUAGUCCUCCUGCCAACCAGCACCAACUUAUUUGAAUUGGCACUGAAGUGAGAAACGAAAUGCCAUCCCUGCUUCACGUCUUGCCUGUUAUUUUAAGUCAGCCUGACAUGUGCAGACUUUAAACUUCAUUUUGCCUUCCAUUAUCAUAAUCCCAUAUGUCUUAAAUAAUGGAACUACACUCCACUUGGCCUGUUCUGUUGUGAGGCCACCAACAUCAUCUAUAGUCUCUCUACGUAAACACGAAAUCCAACACACUUAUGCUACAGAAUACUAGCUGUGUGCUUUUAGAGUGAAGCACUAAACUAAGCAUUUUAAAUGUGUCAUUUCAUUCAAUCCUCAUAGGAGGCAUGAGGUAUGACCCAUUAUUAUCCCCAUUUAACAUAGAAGAAAACUGAGGCUUAUUAAAGUUACAUAACUUCCUAAAAGUUACAUGUAAGUUGCAGAUUCAGGAUUUUAACUAAGACUGUCUGAAACUAGUUUCUGGGUUUUUAACCAGUAUAUUAAAAACUGCCUCCCUAUAAAGAAAACUCCAUUGUAUAUGACUUGAUGUGUUUCAAUUAUAAGAAUAAAUUUUGUUGUGUGGGAAAAUUCUGCUAAUUAUAGUUAAUAUCUUGGUCUCGUUUUAUUUAUAAGAUGUGGUUCCAUAACUACAUUUUUCUGAGGCUUUCUAAGAUCCACAUUUUUCUAAGGUUUUCUAAGAUCCUUUUUCUCCUGGAAAAUUCCAUUUGUGUUAUGUUGCUUGAACUAAGAAUCAGUAAGCUUGUCAGGAAUCUCAACGCAAGCAGAAUUCA